GGGAGAGGUAACCAAUAGCAUUGUUUCAACUAAUCAUGGUCAUUCCCGGAAUGGUGGAGAAGGUUCACUCAUGCCUCAAGAGUGUGCAAGCGCAUGCCAACAAAGGUGUUCAGCGACAUCACACAAGAAGCCAUGCCUGCUCUACUGUAACCAGUGCUGCAAAAAAUGUCUGUGUGUUCCAUCUGGCACAUAUGGUCAUAAAGAAGAAUGCCCUUGCUACAACAACUGGAAAACACAGGAAGGCGAACCCAAGUGUCCUUGAUUAUAUUAUUAUUCCCGAAAGAAAAAGCCAAGCUACCAGUUUUCUUUCCAAUUUAUAUUUACAUCAUAAAAAUUUAUCAGCCCCAUAAAAUGAUGAGUUUAUUGUAACUGAUGAUGUUGAUUUA